rnacentral:tRNA from 1 species
UGGUGCCCAGAGGCGGAAUCGAACCACCGACACGGGGAUUUUCAGUCCCCUGCUCUACCGACUGAGCUAUCUGGGC